rnacentral:rRNA from 1 species
UCGUGAAUUCAUCUCCGGGGGUAGAGCACUGUUUCGGCAAGGGGGUCAUCCCGACUUACCAACCCGAUGCAAACUGCGAAUACCGGAGAAUGUUAUCACGGGAGACACACGGCGGGUGCUAACGUCCGUCGUGAAGAGGGAAACAACCCAGACCGCCAGCUAAGGUCCCAAAGUCAUGGUUAAGUGGGAAACGAUGUGGGAAGGCCCAGACAGCCAGGAUGUUGGCUUAGAAGCAGCCAUCAUUUAAAGAAAGCGUAAUAGCUCACUGGUCGAGUCGGCCUGCGCGGAAGAUGUAACGGGGCUAAACCAUGCACCGAAGCUGCGGCAGCGACGCUUAUGCGUUGUUGGGUAGGGGAGCGUUCUGUAAGCCUGUGAAGGUGUGCUGUGAGGCAUGCUGGAGGUAUCAGAAGUGCGAAUGCUGACAUAAGUAACGAUAAAGCGGGUGAAAAGCCCGCUCGCCGGAAGACCAAGGGUUCCUGUCCAACGUUAAUCGGGGCAGGGUGAGUCGACCCCUAAGGCGAGGCCGAAAGGCGUAGUCGAUGGGAAA